rnacentral:rRNA from 1 species
UACGUAGGGGGCUAGCGUUGUCCGGAAUCAUUGGGCGUAAAGAGCGUGUAGGCGGCCCGGUAAGUCCGCUGUGAAAGUCGGGGGCUCAACCCUCGAAUGCCGGUGGAUACUGUCGGGCUAGAGUGCGGAAGAGGCGAGUGGAAUUCCUGGUGUAGCGGUGAAAUGCGCAGAUAUCAGGAGGAACACCGAUGGCGAAGGCAGGUCUCUGGGCCACUACUGACGCUGAGAAGCGAAAGCAUAGGGAGCGAACAGG